GUUUGAAUAUAAGCAUGGUUUUGAAUGGAGUAUGUUUGUGUGAAUGGGUAGGGGUGUGUUUGUAUGUGCCGUUUGAAUGCAAGCAUGCAUUUAUGUGUAGUGUUGGAUUGUAGUGUUGAAUAUAGGGAUGUGUUUAUAUAUUAUUGGUGUUUAACACCAAAAUGUGCGUGUUUGUAUGUAGUGCUGGUGUUUCAAUGCAGGUGUGUGUGUGUAUGUAGUAUUGAAGUUUGAUUGCAGUGGUGUAUUUGUAUGUAGUGUUGGUAUGUCAAUGCUG